rnacentral:rRNA from 1 species
GGUGGAGCGAUCUGUCUGGUUAAUUCCGAUAACGAACGAGACUCUCCCCUGCUAAAUAGUCGGUUGGAUCUUGAUUCGCGAGUAAUGCGCCCUGGCGGUGUCUUCUCAUGGCUGUGCGCGGAAGGCGACCGUGUCUGUGCAGUGCUUCGGUGCUUGUGCGGGUGCGUUUAACCUCUCCCGCAUGCCUGGGAGCCCCUGGGUAGUGCACACUCCAAGUCCGCCGCUUAUGCUGUAAGUCUUCUUAGAGGGAUCCACGGCUCUGAAGCCGUCAGAGACUGAGAGCAAUAACAGGUCUGUGAUGCCCUUAGAUGCUCUGGGCCGCACGCGCGCUACAAUGCCGGGCACAGCAGGUGUUUAUCCUUCUCCGAGAGGAGCGGGCAACCCUCUGAAAGCCCUUCUCUCUCAUUGUGUCGCGUCGUCUUUCGGGGCGGCGCGCGAGGCGUGCUUGGGCCUGGAGCUUGCAAUUUUUCUCCACAAACGAGGAAUGCCUAGUAGCGGUGGGUCACUGAGCCCACCGUGACUCAGUCCCUGCCCUUUGUACACACCGCCCGUCGCUACUACCGAUUGGGUGUACCAGUGAGAGCCUUGGACUGGCGGCCGUUGCCCUUCGGGCAAGCGGAUUUCGACUGAAAGAGGUCCGAACUGGUGCACUUAGAGGAAGUAAAAGUCGUAACAAGGUUUCCGUAGGUGAACCUGCGGAAGGAUCAUUA